ACAUUAAUGGUUCAGUGGUAGAAUUCUUGCCUUCCAUGCUGGAUAUCCAGGUAUGAUUCCUGGCCAAAGCA
rnacentral:tRNA from 1 species